rnacentral:rRNA from 1 species
CUUAAUUUUUUAUAAGAGUGACGGGCGAUUUGUGCAUUGAUCUUUUUUUAUCCAUUCUUCAAUAUAUUUUUAAAGAAUUAAUAACGAGUUCUAAUCUCCAUUGGUUUGGAGCAAAAGAUUAAUAUUAUUAAUAAUGUUCCAUAAACUUCUUUUUUGUAAUUCUUGUCUUGAUUUGGGGUUUUAUAAGUUAUCAUAUUUGUUUAGGUAUUACACAUUUUCAACUAAAAGCAAUGAUAUAAGGAAUAAUUAAAAAAGAACUAUUAAACGUGGGUUAUCUAUUAGGUAACAGAACCCCCCGACAAUGAGAUCAACCGCCAUGUUGUUUAGGUUUAGUUUAACUAACUACUACCUAAGAUUUUUAUAAAG